rnacentral:ncRNA from 2 species
CGUCUUCGUAUGCGAGUGUUCGGGUGCCAAACCCCUACGCGUAAUGAAAGUGAACGCAAGUGAGAGUUUCGGCGCAUCAUCGACCGAUCCUGAUGUUCUUGGAUGGAUUUGAGUAAGAGCAUACGGGGCCG